rnacentral:lncRNA from 1 species
GACUUUGAUUGUCUUUGUCGAUCGACCUUCGUUACUUAUUUGUUUCUCGAUUGUUCAUUCUUUGUUCACUUCUCUGUUUGUAUCGCUGAUAUUUCAGUCGCUGUAGCCCUUCUCCGUCCCUCUCCGGUGCUGCUGUCUCUGUGAGUCCCGGGUGAUUUCUGCUUGGCCCGUGACUCUGUCUUCCUCCCUUCUGCUUCGGGAGAGGGCCUGAGCCUCCCUGAGAUUUCCUCCCACCCGGCCUGACGGAUGGAGAAUGGACACCUCAGACUCUCCCAUCCCUGGCCAUUGGCGUGGCCCAGGAGCUGCCUUCCCUGGCUGUGCUCGAGGCUCACUGGAGGGAACUUCGUUUUCAUUGUGGGAAAUUUUUUUUUUUUUUUUGAGACGGAGUCUCACGCUGUUGCCCAGGCUGGAGUGCAGUGGCUGAUCUCGCCACUGCAAGCUCCGGCCCUGGGUUCAUCAUUCUCCUGCCUCAGCCUCCUGAGUAGCUGGGACUACAGGCUCGCCACCGCUAAUUUUUUGUAUUUUUAGUGAGACGGGGUUUCACUGUGGUCUCGAUCUCCUGACCUUGUGAUCCGCCCACCUCGGCCUCCCAAAGUGCUGGGAUUACAGGCUUGAGCCACUGCCCCAUUGUGGGAAAUUUUUAAAAAGUCUCUUACAGAUUUCAGUGAGUUCAAAGCCGCCCGUGCGCAGACGUAGGUCCGUUCUUCACCUAGCUUCACUCUAGCCUGCCGAAAGGAAAUGGUAAUAGAGCUGGAAAAGGUGUCCUGGGGUUGAUUAGAGGAUUUUCCGUUUCAUCUUGGAAAGGGAUAUUGACGGGAGGCCAGAACUUCUAGAUCCUCUUCAAUUUCAAGAAAUACUUUAAAGCCUGGACAAUAUCGGGAGGCCUUAUCUCUACAAAAUAAAAAUGGAAAAAUCAGCUGGGUGCGAUGGCACACUCCUGUGGUCCCACCUUCUCUGGAGGAUGAGGUGGGAAGAUCACGAGCUUGGGAGGCUGAGGCUGCAGUUAGCUGUGAUCGUGCCAGUGUACUGCAGCCUGGGUGACAGAGCAAGACGCUGAAAAAAGAAAAAGAAGGGAAGGAGGGGAGGGAGGGAGGGAGGAAGGAAGGAAGGAAGUAAACAAAUGGCUCAGGCUCAGAGAGCUGUGUGUGGCCCCCAGCUCCCACCCCCACCAAAGGGCCUGCAAACCCACAGGGGGGCAGGUUGUCUUUAGCUGGAACCACAGGGACGGGGGGCCCUGAACUGUAGGGGUUGGGGUUAGGGUUAGGCUUUGAGGUUUGGGGUUAUAGAAUAUAGAUGGGUUUGGUCCUGGGAAAAUUCCAGGUCUGGGUUUUGUGGUCGGGGGUUGGUCUCCGGUGAGAUGCGACAUGUUUACAGGGUUUGUGAGGUAUGUACAGAUGUGUACGGUGCUGUUGUUGGAAUGUGUUCUCCAGAUUUCAUGUGUUGGCAAUUUUGUGUUCUUUUUUUUUUGAGAUGGUGUCUCGCCCUGGCAUCUGUCACCCAGGCUGGAGUGCAAUAGUGUGAUCUCAGCUCACUGCAGCCUCUGCCUCCCAGGUUCAAGCCAUUCUCAUACCUCAGCCUCCCAGUGGCUGGCAUUGUAGCAGGACAAGCCAGAGACAAAAUUCCUCAGACACCAGGUUAAAGAAGGAAGGGCUGUAUUCGGCCAGGAGCACUGACAGACUUGCAUCUUAAGAGCUGAGCUCCCCAAAAAGGAAAUUCCUGGUGCUUUUAAGGGCUUACGACUCUAAGGGGUUCACGUGAAAGCAUUGCGAUAGCUUAAGCAAGUGCGGGGAACGUGACGGGGGGCUGCAUGCAUCAGAUAACAGACCAGAGAGUUUUACGGUGCUUCCUCAUAUGAUGUCUGGAAUUUACAGAUAACACAAGUAGGUUAGGUCAGGGGUUAAUAUGAUUAUUAUUAUUAUUUUCAACCACCAGGGCUGGGUGGUGGCCUCAUGUUCGUUUAGCUAUUUAUCUUACUUCUGUAUUUUUUUUUAAACGUUUUGCUUUCUCCCUUUUUCCUUGUUUUAUAAACUAGGAAAGUGGGGGUGGGGAAGGGCAGGGCAGCAGGAGAACUGGUGGUCUCCUUCCUGAGGAUUACAGGCACCAGCCUCAUUCCUGGCUAUUUAUUUAUUUUUGUAUUUUUAGUGGAGAUGGGGUUUCACCAUGUUGGCCAGGCUGGUCUUGAACUCCUGGCCUCAGGUGAUCACCCUCCUCGGUCUCUCAAAGUGCUGGGAUUAAAGGG